rnacentral:lncRNA from 10 species
GCCAACAUUCAGCCUCCUCUGCCCAUCAGCCUUGCUGACACAGGGAGUGGAGAUUUGUGUAGAGAAAUGACUCAUUCAAAUAUGACUUAAUCUAAACCGUAAGUGUAUGAUUUAUUAAUGUGCCACCAGGCCUUACACCAAGAGAGCCAUUCCAGAGAAAAGUCCUUUUUCUCCUGAGAACAGUGCCAGCAGCUGGCUUCGUGACAUUCUGGAAGCCCCGUGCAAUGCUGUCAGGAGCAUAGGGAUUUUACUUUAUCUCCCUUGCUUAUGCUCCACAUAACUGAAAUAUCUCACUGGAAGCUGCAGCAGUGCUGGCCCCUUGCACAGCCAUAUGUGACCACUGCAGAACAAUCAGUUGGAGAGACAGUUUGGACUACAUGGAGGGUGGAGAUAAGGACAAAGUGAAGAAUACACAGGAACCAGUGCCUCCUCCUGGAACUAUGCAACUCCAAGCUGCUUCCAUCAGCUGCUAGGUCCAGUAGGGAGGGACCUACUGAGAGGUACUCAGACCCAGAACAUACUGUUUUCACUCCAAGAGUCUGAAUGUCUCUUUUCUGAGAAAGAUGAAGAAAAAGUACUUUUUUCAUGAAUUUAAUACUCAUUAAAGUCAAUAGUCGGAAAGCCUGGCUAAUUAGCAGACUUCUUCAGAGGACUUUAAAUAAUAUAGUUACUGUAUUUUUAUUAUAUUGAAAUCUCCAAAUAUAUAAAGUUAGAAUCUUCAAGGUGGGAGGAAGAGGAGAAAUUGGAUUUCUCUAAGCUCCCUAGUGAUUCUGAUGAUGACUCAUUUGGGGAAGUGCAGCAUUGAAUGGCCCUUCUAAAAUGAGGACAGCUAUUUUUUGGACUAAGCACCCCUCCCGACUCUCCCCAUUCCUCAUCCUCUCAGAGACUUCUCUCUCUCAGAUUGCCCCAUCUGUCUCAUGUAUUAUAAUCACUUCCCCUCUACUGGUUUCUUCUCAUACGUUUAACUUGUUCAAGUGCCUUCCAUCUUUAAAAACAGUCAAGGCACAGCCCUUGAUUUAACCAUAGGAAGCCCGCUCCCCACCACCCUGCCAUCAGCUCUCUUCUUCCUGUGUAGUGAGCACUGCUUCUUUGAGCUUCUGAAAGCUGUAGUCACUGCCUCUUGCUGGUAACUGAAAGCACAUUUCUAAGUUCGCAUAUUCCCUGACUUCUUGACAGCACUCAUGACUCGCCAUCUCCUUUUCUGGAACACUGUUUGCUUGGCUUUCACAAUAUCAUGCUUUUCUAGUUCUUUUUCCUGUUUUGGACACUGCUUUACAGAGAAUUAACAUUCCUCUUUUUCCCGCUGACCCUGAAUCAAGAAAGAAUCAUGUUUCUUUCUUUAUUUUUUAUAUCUUAACUUUUGAGGGGUAGAUUUUCAAGCAUACAUAAAAGUGAAGAGAACAGGAUAAUGAACUAGGUGUACACAUGACUGCAUCUUAUCAGUGCAAUACACACUCAUAUUACUUUUUCUAUACUUCAUCCAUUUUCUCCCUGCUCCCUGACUUGGAUCAAAUCCCAGACAUUACAUUAUUUAACCUGCAAAUAUUUCAUCAUAUAUAUGUGGGAAUAUAUAGAUCUCUAUCACUAUAUAUAGUGAGAAUUUCUUUCAAAGAAAAGAUAAUCACAAUAUUAUAAUCUCAUCAAAUGUAGUUGUUAUAAUUCCUUAAUGUCAGUCUAAUAACAAUCCUGUUUUCACAAUUUCUUCUCUUGUAGAUUUUUAAAAAUUAAUUUUGUUGAAUUGAAAUCUAAAUAAGAUACAGAGAUAAAGAUUCAUUGACAUGUCCCUUAAGUAUUUUAGUUUAUAGGCUGUCCUACUAUAUUCCCUGCCUCUUCUUGCAUUUUAUCUUGAUUCAGUUGAAAACUCUGGGUCAUUUGUCUUAUAAAGUUCAUGGGGUCUGCAAUUUGGUGAAGGUGUCCUUUUGGCAUUAUUUAACAUGCGUCUCUGUUCCUUGUAUUUUCUAGAAAUUAUUGGUUAUAUCUAGAGGUUUGAUCAGAUUUAGGUGAAAUUAUAAAAAGAUUCCGUCAUAGGUGAUUUUGUGAAGUUCCAUCAGAAGGUACCCAUCUGGUUUUCUCUCCUUUUGUGAUGCUAGCAGCCACUGAAUAUGGUAAUCUACUCCAAUCAUUAACUAAAUUUCUUUUCUGGAAUUAUUCCAAAAGAGAAACUUUUUUCAUCAUGCAUUUGGUUGUCCUGAGGUAUGAUUGUAUAGGAAAAACAGGAUAACCUACUGAUACUUUCUGUUUAAACUAGUAUUCAAAAUAAUAAAAGUAGUCCCCUAGUAUUAUCUAAAGAUUUCAAAAGACUUUUAAAAAAAUUAUUGAUGAUUUUAUGAGCUCAGGGAUUAAACAUAGUCAAUCUGUUUCAAUCCCUUGCAGUUAUUCCAAUUAAUAAUCAAAUUUUCCUGCCUUUGGCUUGCGGCAGCGUAUUCAUGUUGAAUUCUGGGUCACUUUGACAUGACUCCAGUUGUCUUUGAUGGUAUCCUUUUUGUGACAAAAUGUCCCAGGAUUAUAAUUUCCUGUCCCAUACUGGGAAACAGCCAGUUCUCCAAAGAGCUCUGGAACCAUUCAGUGAGAAAUGUAUUUAGAUGCAACAUUCUGGGUGCUAAGCAUGCCCAUUAACCUGAUCAAUCUCACGUCUUUCCUUUCUUUCAGCAUUGCCAGAAAACUCAUUUCUCAGUGACACCAUUGUAAUUACUCAUUUGAUUAUCCCGCAAUACACAUAUAAGAGUCUCAGGAAAACAGUACCAUCAGCAUUAUAUGGUAAUAUCUACAAGCACUUUAAUAUUUUCUUAUUGGGGGUACACUUUUUUCCAUAGAGAAUAUUUUACUAGGUAAGAACAAUAAUAUUGAUAUGUUUUAAUUUUUCUUGAAGUGGUUCUUCUGUAUGAGGUUAUAUCACCAAGUAGAUAUACAGUUAUAAUGUUUGAUUAUUACACAUUGCUUUUCUUAAAAUUUAAUUUUGUUUUAAAGCUAUUAAAAUCAGGUUUCUUAAAGAAAGAUCCUCAUUCUAUCUGGAUCAAAAUCACUUUCAGAGCUAAUUAAAAAUGUGGUGUCCUGGACUCACGAAGCCAGAAUUGCUGAGGAGAUAGCCCGAGAAUCUGAAUUUUUAGCAGACAUUUUUUUAGCAUUUCUCUCAGGUACCUUACCCGCAGGAUCAUUUCUGUGAAUAUCCAUGAGGUGAAAAAGUCUGGGAAACACUGUCCUAGACAGGAAACGCCACGAAGUGUCUGGAUCAAAGAACAGACUAUUGCUCACAGAGCACCUUCAUAGCAUUGUUCCUCAUGCCCCCGUUGCCCAAGGGGAUGGCAGGUUGAGGACCAGAUGUACUUGCAUGUUCAGGGGAUGCAGCACAGAAGAGGAACUCCAAAAUUAUUAUUAUUAUUGUUAUUAUUAUUAUUUUUGAGAUGGAGUCUCGCUCUGUCGCCCAGCCUGGAGUGCAGUGGCGUGAUCUCGGCUCACUGCAAGCUCCGCCUCCCGGGUUCACGCCAUUCUCCUGCCUCAGCCUCCCGAGUAGCUGGGACUACAGGCACGCACCGCCACGCCCUGUUAAUUUUUUUUGUAUUUUUUUUUAGUAGAGACAGGGUUUCACCGUGUUAGCCAGGAUGGUCUUGAUCUCCUGACCUCGUGAUCCACCCGCCUCGGCCUCCCAAAGUGCUGGGAUUACAGGCGUGAGCCACCGCGCCCGGCCGAACUCCAAAAUUAUUAAACUCUGAGCGUCUGCAGGUGACUGACACAUCUGCGCUUCCUUUCUUCCAGGGUGUGGGGAAGAGCGAGAAAAAGAUUUCCGCUCUGGAAGGUAAACAAAUACUCUCUGGAGAGAGAAGAGGAAUGUCCCUAGCAGAUGUCUCCAGAGAAGACAAGACUUUAAAUUCCGCCAGGGAAAUAUACAAUGUCUAACUUCUAAGGCACAUUUGCCAUUCAAUCAUGCUUUAACCCACGUUGCCAGAAAUUUUUGCUCACUAGGUUUUGACUGUACAGGAAUGUGAAAAUAUUCAUGAAGAGUUGUUUUCCAAUGCUAAAGAAUUGAUGUGUUUUAACAGUUGAAUUAAUUGUAUUGAUUAUGAUCACACCUACUUUUUAUAUAUCUUCAUUUCUAACGUUUCUGUACAAUCCUGCCUUUCCACCUGAUAUAGUUAGGCCUUGUGUCAUCAACCAAAUCUCAUCUUGAAUUGUAAUCGCCAUAAUCCCCACGUAUUUAGGGAGAGACCUGGAGGGAGGUGUUUGGAUCAUGGGGGCGGUUUCCCGCAUGCUGUUCUCAUGACCAUGAGAGUAAGUUCUCAAGAGAUCUGAUGGUUUUAUAAGCGUCUGUCAUUUCCACUGCUUGCACUUCUGUGUCCUGCCACCUUGUGAAGAAGGACGUGGUUGCUUCCCCUUCCACCAUGAUUGUGUUUCCUGAGGCCUCCCCAGCCUUGCAGAGCUGUGAGUCAAUUAAACCUCUUUCCUUUAUAAAUUACUCAGUCUCUGUAUUCCUCUGCAGCAGUGUGAGAACAGACUAAUACAUCACCACUUUAUUUACUUUACUCUCUCCCCAUACCGAGGUUUUCUACAUUUUCUUUCUAGGUCUCUACAGUUUCUGCAAAGAUCCUUUAUGGAACUCUUAGGGAAGCUGGGAUGUAUAAUAAAUAAAGGGCUCUUUUCUUUGAGUCCCACACCCAUUUUCUGUGUAUAAAAAUCUUCAACUCCACUUUUGUCUGUUCUAUUUAAAUGUGUGCACAUUUCCUUCUAAUGUUGUAUAUGAAAAAGAGACACCUCUUAGCAGUCUUUCAUAGAGCAAAAUUUUUUACUUUGAUAAAAUCUAAUUUAUCAAUAUUUUUAAAUUUUAUGGAUCAAUCAUGCUUUUGAGGUUGAAUUUAAGAAUGCUUUGCCUAGCCCUAGAUCCCAAGUAUCUUUUAAAAAUUAUUUUUCUAAAUGCAUUAUUUAUGUUUUACACUUAAGUCUAUAAUCCAUUUUGAGUCCAUGUGUAAGAUUUAGGUUAAGGUCAAGAUUUAUCUGUUUUUGUUGUUUUCUCUAUAAAUGUCAAUUGCUCCAGCACUAUUUGUUUAAAAGCCAAUCUUUCCUCCGCUGAGUUCUUCCUAUAAGUUUGUCAAAAGUCAAUUUGGCAUCUUUGUAUAAGUUUAUUUCUGGAUUCUCUAUUCUGUUUUAUUGAUCACUGCAUCUAUCCCUCUUGAUUAGCUAGAUAAUAAAUCCUACAAUAAGGUAGAAUUCUUCCCACUUUAUUCAUAUUCAAAAUAUUUUAAAGCUAUUCUAGUUUCUUUUUAUUUCCAUAUAUAUUUUAGGAUAAUCUUAUCUAUAUUUACAACAUAUGUUGCUAGGAUUUUGAUAGAAUUUGUUUUAAAUUUGUGUAUCAAUGUAGGGAAGACCUGACAUCUUUACUAUUACGUUGAUCUUCCAAUCAAUGAAUAUGGUAUAUCUCUCAGUUUAUAGCUAUUGUCUUUAAUUUAUUUCAUCAUGGUUUUUAGUUUUCAGCAGAGAAGCUUUAUACAUGUUUUGUUAUACAUGUAUAACAAAAGAAGCCUUAUACACUGACAUUUUAUAUUUUGAACAAUUGUAAAUGGUAUUGUUUAAAAAUUUUGUUGUCUAUGAUAGAAAUAAAAUUGAUUUUUGUAGGUUUAUCUUGUAACCUAUGACUUGCUGAGCUCGCUCAUUAGUUUUUUUAUUGUGAUAAAAUAUACAUGAGAUAAAUUUCAUCAUUAUAAUCAUUAAGUUUAGACAUCAAUUGCAUUAAGUACAUAAAUGCCUUAUGCAACCAUCAUCUCUAUCCAUCUCCAGACCCUUUGCAUCACCCUAAAAUGAAACUCUGUGCCCAUUAAACAAUAACUCCCCAUUCUGCCCUCACCCCAGCCCUUGGUAAUUACCAUCCUACCUUUUAUCUCUAUAAAUUUAACCAUCCCAGGUAACUCAUAUAAGUGGAAUCAUGCAGUGUUUGUCCUUUUGUAACUGGUUUAUUUCACUUAGCAUGAUGUCUUCAAGGUUUGCCUAUGUCAUAGCAUGUGUCAGAAUUUCAUCCCUUUUUAAACUUAAAUAAUAUUCCACUGUAGGCAUAUGCCACAUUUUGUUUAUUUGUUCAUCUGUUGAUGGGCAUUUGGGUUGUUUCCACCUUUUGGCUACUGUGAAUAAUGCUGCUGUGAUCAUGGGUAUGCAACUGUCUCCUGGAGUCCCUGCUAUCAAUUCUUGUGGGUAUAUACCCAGAAGUGGAAUUGUUGCAACAUAUAGUAAUUCUAUGUUUAAUUUUUUGAGGACCUGCCAUAAUGUUUUCCACAGUAGCUACAUUGUCUUAUAUUCCCAUUAAGAGUUCCAAUUUCCUCACAUCUUCACCAAUACUUAUUGUUUUCUGUUUUUUUAAAUAAUAGCCAUCAUAAUAAAAGUAACAUGGUAUCUCAUUGUGGUUUUAACUGCAUUUCCCUUUUUACUGGAUUGUUUGUAAUAUUGCUGUAAUUGAGUUGUAGGAGUUUUUAAAUAUGUUCUGAAUAAUUAAUUUCUUAUCAGAUAUGUCAUUUGCAAAUAUUUUCUGCCAUUCUCUGGGUUGUCAUUUCACUCUCUUGAUAGUGUCCUUUGAUGCACAGAAGUUUUGAAAUUUGAUAAAGUUUAAUUUGCGUAUGUAUUUAUUUUGUUGCUUAUGCUUUUGGUGUCAUAUCCAAGAAAUUAUUGCCAAAUUCAGUGUCAUGAAGAUUUUCCCCUGUGUUUUCCUCUAAGAGUAUUAUAGUUUUAACUCUUGCACUUAGAUUGAUCCGCUUUGAGUUAAUUUUAGUAUAUGGGGUAAGACAAGGGCUCAAAUUUGUUCUUUUGUUUGAAGAUUCUAGGUCAUUUGUGAUCUUUAGGAUUUUCUAUGUAGACAUUAAUGUCAUCUUCAAAUAUGAACAGUUUAUUUCUUCCUUUUGUAUAUGUAUGAAUUUACUUUCCUUUUCUUGCCUUAUUGCACUGGCUAGAGUUUUCAGUACUAUGAUGAAUAAAAUCAGUGAGAGCAGACACCCUUGCUUUGUUUCUAAUCUUAGGAGGAAAGCUUUCAGUCUUUCAUCAUUAGGUAUACUGUUAGUUGUAGGCUUAUUAUAGAUGCUCUUUAUCAGGUUGAGGCAGUUUCCUCCUUGGUUAAGACUUUCUAUUUUUCAUUUUCAGUUAUGACCAGGCAUGUUCAUAACUGCUCAUCAAAACUUUGAAUUAGUGGCUGCUUUAACAUCCUUCUCAGACAAUUCUAACAUCUGUUUUGUUGGUGGUGGCAUCUAUCAAUUGUCUUUUUCAUUCUGUUUGAGAUCUUCCUUGCGUUUGGUAUGAUUUUUUUAAAUAUUAUGUCAUGAAACUGCAUCUUAUUUAAAUCUUCUGUUUUAGUUGGCUAUGUCUGACAUCACUUCCCCAGGGGAAGGUGUUGUUACUGCUAGUGGAGGGUGAGAAUUAUGGCUCUCCACUGACAUUGUGGUGGGAUUGGUCCCAUUACCACUGGGCAGGGUUGAAAGUCCUGACUUUCUGCUAGGCCUUCUCUGACUUCAUCGCAGCAGGAGGAAAAGAUGCCUCUGGAGUUGAAGUCAGGUUGCACUGACACUGUGUGUGUAUGGAGGUAGGCUGGGGUGAAAGUGGAGACUCAUUACCACAUGGUGAGUAGUUUCCAGCUCUCUAUUUGGCCUUCUCUGAUACCACCCAGACAGGGACAUUGGGGAUACCUCAUUACAGCCUAGUGAGGGUCAAACUCUAGGCUCCCCACUCAGUCUUUGCUAUCAUGGACACUGUAGGACCAUAGUUUUUUCUGUGCUGUUUGCUUGAUGUGUCUUCCUUGGACCCUGAGUUCCAUAGCUGGUCUGCAUUCCUCUCUCCACCUUUAAGACGUCUUCUUAUGUUUAUUUCAUAUUUAACAUCCAGGGUGGUAAUUAGAGGGAAGAAUAGAGGGAAAAGUACAGUUGCACUUUGUUGUUCAAAGAGCAGUUUUGAACUGCACAGACCCAUUUCUCUGAGCACACCCAGGGAUGAUUGUACUUGUAUAAAAUUUUUUUCCUGGAUGCAGAAUUCUCAAUUGACUGUGAAAGUUCAUAACAAAGAAAACAGUGGGGAAGACAAAUCUGGAAAUGAGGAAAAUAAAAAUUAAAUAGUGAGACCACCCAUGGAGCUUGUGGCAAAGCCUGAAUUGAAUCCGCUGUAUCUUAAGAUUGUGCCUCAUUCUAAAUUUAAGUCACCCUUCUCAUUAUGAAAGUGUCACAACUUCUCAGUAGGUGAGGAGACAGUCUAAAUUUGAGAAAAGAAAGUUACAACAAAGGUUUUGAGCAAGCUGCUAAGUGGAUUUAUUCAUGUUUGAGAAAUCAAAUAUAUGGUUAAUGAGCUCUUUAACUAGAAGCCAACACUAGGGAGGAGUAGACAGAAGUCACGGGGAGGGAGCCCCCGGACAUUUCAAAAGACUUUGCCCUGCAACAUCUCCUCCACAUUUAAGCUUUUAGGUUAUUGUAGCCACAUCACAAGCAUGUUACCUACCCAGAUAUUGUCUGCGCAUCAUUCCCAAAAGCUUCCCUGGGUCUUCAUAAUAUUAAUGAGAUUCUCCCCCAGGUUAGACCCCUUUGGCUUGAGUCAGAAACAGAAUUAAUCCGGGGGACAAUCCAGCAGCACCCAUCUCUGGGUUGCAGAAAUAUCUGAGGUGACCAGGCAGUGUUUGGAGUCCCCUCAGUUAGCUAACAAAGUGAGUUCACAGCUUCCAAGACCCCAGGCUUUCCAGGCUAAUAAAGAGCUGAGGUUAUAGGCUCUCCUUAUCAAACGCUCUUUGGCAGCUGCCAUAACCAUUCCAAGUCUAGUCCUAGAAUAGAAAUGACGCGGUUUCAGGAGCUGACAGAUGGAACUUUAAGCCUUCCUUCCUGCCACAUCUGAAGUUCUUUUUUAAAAAAAUAGAAAACCAUGACAAUAAACACUCCUUGAAUGCCCUGUGGAAAAGUGUACUCCUCAGAAUUCACUAAAGUGGGGUGAAGCAGUGGGUUGUGGUGCUGAGAAAACAUCUCUUCCCCUCGGCAGUAUAUUGGAAUCUCAUAGAAACUUCUGUGGCUGGGAAGCAAACAUGCUCUCUGCCCCAUUGCUCUUAUUCAUCUUUAGACCUGAUAAUACAGUUUGAACUUCAAGUUGCACUUUAAAUGGCAUGCAUUUUUA